rnacentral:rRNA from 1 species
UACGUAGGGUGCAAGCGUUGUCCGGAAUCAUUGGGCGUAAAGCGCGCGUAGGUGGCUUUGUAAGUCCGUUGUGAAAGUCAAAGGCUCAACCUUUGAAUGCCGAUGGAUACUGCGGAGCUAGAGUACGGAAGAGGCGAGUGGAAUUCCUGGUGUAGCCGGUGAAAUGCGCAGAUAUCAGGAGGAACACCGGUGGCGAAGGCGGAUCUCUGGGCCAGUUGACUG